GAUGAACGCUGGCGGCGUGCCUAAUACAUGCAAGUCGAGCGAACAGACGAGGAGCUUGCUCCUCUGACGUUAGCGGCGGACGGGUGAGUAACACGUGGAUAACCUACCUAUAAGACUGGGAUAACUUCGGGAAACCGGAGCUAAUACCGGAUAAUAUAUUGAACCGCAUGGUUCAAUAGUGAAAGACGGUUUUGCUGUCACUUAUAGAUGGAUCCGCGCCGCAUUAGCUAGUUGGUAAGGUAACGGCUUACCAAGGCAACGAUGCGUAGCCGACCUGAGAGGGUGAUCGGCCACACUGGAACUGAGACACGGUCCAGACUCCUACGGGAGGCAGCAGUAGGGAAACUUCCGCAAUGGGCGAAAGCCUGACGGAGCAACGCCGCGUGAGUGAUGAAGGUCUUCGGAUCGUAAAACUCUGUUAUUAGGGUAGAACAAAUGUGUAAGUAACUAUGCACGUCUUGACGGUACCUAAUCAGAAAGCCACGGCUAACUACGUG
rnacentral:rRNA from 1 species